CCUGCACUAAGAGGCUUUGCAAGUAUGGCUGCUAUUUCACAUGUAUGUUAGUAGGGAGCAGAGAUAAGACAUACUAUUUCUACACUCAGUUUUCUAAGCUACAAACAUUUGAAAGAUUAGUAAUCUAAUCAU